AGAAUCAACGCUGGCGGCGUGCCUCAGACAUGCAAGUCGAACGCGAAAGCCCCCUUCGGGGGCAAGUAGAGUGGCGCACGGGUGAGUAACACGUAGGUAAUCUACCUUCGGAUGGGGAAUAACAAUCGGAAACGGUUGCUAAUACCGCAUAAUGCAGCGGCACCUAAUGGUGGACAGUUGUUAAAGCGGGGGAUCGAAAGACCUCGCGUCUGAAGAGGAGCCUGCGGCGGAUUAGCUAGUUGGUAAGGUAAUGGCUUACCAAGGCUACGAUCC
rnacentral:rRNA from 1 species